rnacentral:rRNA from 1 species
UACGAAGGGGGCUAGCGUUGUUCGGAUUUACUGGGCGUAAAGGGUGCGUAGGCGGGUCUUUAAGUCAGAGGUGAAAUCCUGGAGCUCAACUCCAGAACUGCCUUUGAUACUGAGGGUCUUGAGUAUGACAGAGGUGAGUGGAACUGCGAGUGUAGAGGUGAAAUUCGUAGAUAUUCGCAAGAACACCAGUGGCGAAGGCGGCUCACUGGGUCAUUACUGACGCUGAGGCACGAAAGCGUGGGGAGCAAACAGGG